rnacentral:rRNA from 1 species
AGAGUUUGAUCCUGGCUCAGAACGAACGUUAGCGGCGCGCUUAACACAUGCAAGUCGAACGAGAAAGGGCUUCGGCCCCGGUACAGUGGCGCACGGGUGAGUAACACGUGGGUAAUCUUCCCUCGAGCGGGGGAUAACGUUCCGAAAGGAACGCUAAUACCGCAUAAGACCACGGCUUCGAGAGAAGCUGCGGUCAAAGUAGGCCUCUGAAUUCACGCUUACACUCGAGGAUGAGCCCGCGGCCCAUCAUGGUAGUUGGUAGGGUAACGGCCUACCAAGCCGAAGACGGGUAGCUGGUCUUAGAGGAUGAUCAGCCACACUGGAACUGAGACACGGUCCAGACUCCUACGGGAGGCAGCAGUGGGGAAUCUUGCGCAAUGGGCGAAAGCCUGACGCAGCGACGCCGCGUGGGUGAUGAAGGCCUUCGGGUCGUAAAGCUCUGUGGGGAGAGACGAAUAAGGCACGGCGAAUACCCGUGGUGAUGACGGUAUCUCCUUAGCAAGCACCGGCUAACUCUGUGCCAGCAGCCGCGGUAAGACAGAGGGUGCAAACGUUGUUCGGAAUUACUGGGCGUAAAGCGUGUGUAGGCGGUCAUGUAAGUUGGAUGUGAAAGCCCGGGGCUCAACCUCGGAAGUGCAUUCAAUACUGCGUGGCUUGAGUAUCGGAG